CCAAAGCCCUUAAAAUUCUCUCUAAAUAAAUUUGAUGACAUACAUUUAAAAAAUACAAUCUGGAUUCUCAAGAAUAUUAUUAUACAUUAAGUGUCAAAUUGUCAUUAGUUACUAAGUCUUAAAAUUUUAACGCUGACUCUGACUUCAGGGUCUUCCCAAAAUGUGUAAGUAAAAUGUAAAAUUUGUUAAUUUUUAGGGGCAAAUAAACUUCCAAAUUAACAGAGAAGAGAUGAGGCAUUGACUUGAUCUGGAUCCCCUUUUCAAGGACUACCACAUAUCAUUCUGAAUAUCACAAAACAGAUCUAACAGUUCCUUCUAACUUAAAGAAAUUCUAAUAGUUGUCUGCAACUAUCACAGUUUAUUGUUUCUAAGUAAAUUGCUGUUUAAUUAUAAUAACCAUUUGGAUUUGAAGUCACAGACUCAAAGCCUGCAUAGACCAGGCAGACAGAGUUAACCUGUGUAUCAAAAGAAUCAAGUAUUGGGGCAUGACUGGGCUGGGGAACUCAGGUACUGGAUUAAGGGUGCAAUUGCUACUCAGCUCCACCUGAUUAUUGCCACAUAGUGUUGCCAAAUCCUCUCAUGUUUCAAGAGAAGCUAAAAAAUUUCAGAUUUUUUUUUUUGAGACAGGGUUUCGCUCUUGCUCAGGCUGGUCUUGAACCCCUGACCUCAAGGAUUACAGGUGUGAGCCACCAUGCCUGGCCAAAAAGAGAUCAUUUUAAGUGAUCUCUUGGUAUUUAAAAAUUGACACAAGUUUUAGAGAACAUAUGGCACAUAAUAAGCCAACCAUAUCUAUAAGUAAAAUUCAAGUUCCAACCUCCACUGUAGCAAAAACAUUCCUUUCGAUAAUUAGUAAUUGUGCUUACUUAUCUUUGGAAAACCAACAACUGUGGGCUUUUGAGGCAGAUAUGCCUUGGUUUGCAUUCUUGUUUUGCCACAGAAGAGUUCUGGAACUUGGCACAAGUUACCUGUUCUCUAUAAAACUUCAUUUCUUUAGCAUUUCUUACAGAGGAAAAUGGCAAUGGCCUCGAAGCACUGUUGUGAUGAUUAAAUGAUAUAAACAUACAGCCAAACUCCCCAUUAAUAUCAACUGCAUCUGUUUUCUACAGUUUUUCUGCCAAUGGUGGCAAUAAUGGGAAGUGUGUGUGUGUGUGUGUGUGUGUGUGUGUAUAAAGAAUAUCGAAUUAGCUCAGACCAUAUUCUAUCAGUAAUUUACUGCAUGCUUCUUGUCAAGCUACUUAACUUCCCUGGGCCUCAGUUUCUUGUCUGUACAUAACAAAGUGAGCCCAGUGAUGCUUCUCAUCCUAAAGUCAUUCUGAGGCACUGAGAGAGAGCUUACAGGCUUGGGCCCAGAUUUGAAUUUUGGCUCUGCCACUCACUCCCUAGGUGUGAGAUAUGGGACAUGUUCCUAAUUUUCCCAUGUUUCAGUUUCCCCAUCUGGAAAGAUAAUAAAAAUACCUACCUUACAGGGCCCUUUUAAGAAACAAGUAAGACAUGUAAAGCCCUUAAAACAGUUCCCAGAACAUAGUAAGUGCCUAGUAAGUAAUAGCUAUUUCUAUAGUUCGUAGAAUCUAAUAUACCAUUGUUUUAAAAAGUAACACUCUAUGUACCACUAAGGAAGAAAAAAUGUUGCUUUAAAUUAAAUUGUGAUAUAAUGCUUUGUUAUUAGAAUUUUUCUUUUGUAUGUAAUAAAAAGGUCUCUAGAUCUCAGUAUACAUUUGCAUCAGAUACCACUCUUAUGGAUAAAUAAAAGAAAAAUAUACAUUUAAUUGGUUAGAUUGACUUUGCCAAAUCACUUUGCAACUUUGAGUUACUGGCACAUCCAUAUCAGUGCUUUUCUACUCAAUGUUAUCUGGGCAAUCAGGAGCAUUAGGAAUGCUUUAUCUCCUUUACUUCUCUUCCUGCUCCUUCUUCUUAUUCUGAUUUUUAAAAAGACUUUUAAUUUCAAAAAUUUUCCAAGAUGCAUAUUAAUAGAGAGAAUAGUAUAAUGUACCCAUAACCCAAGGCAACAAUAUCCAUAUGUAUCCAAGACAACAUUCUUAACAAAGUGCUUUUUACCAUCUGCAAGAUUUUUCUCCCAAGCUGCUAACAACAUCAUUUUGCAAGUUUUGAUGUUUACUUUUUUUAUUGUCUUACUAGAAGAUACCAAUAGAAUUUUUUUCAGGCAAGAAUUGGGACUCCUAUUCCUUUCUCCAGUUGCCCUGAAAUGAUUUGUUUUUCAAGCAUCAAGGGGCUGUCCUUGUUCAGUCAUGUCAACAGGAACUCCAGCCAACUUUCUACAUGUGCAGGCAGUGACAACUAUGUCACAAUUGCCACCUGUCGAACAGCAAUUUUAGGGCACUAUUUAUUGGAAGGAGGCAUCCCGACUUCAGGAAUGUUAAAAUAUACAGGGGAAAUAAAAGCACAAUUUGGGAUUGAUGCAAUAAAAUAUUAUCAUAAAAUAUGACCCAAAGGAUAUAAGAUCAUUUUCUUGAUUUUUCCUUCAAUGACUUUAGGUGUACUUGUGAACAACUUUGGCAAAACAGCUUCUUGGGUGACGUAUUCUGCCAUGAUACCCAUCUUAGGAUAUCUUUUCAUAUGAAUAACAACUCAUGAUUUCUGUCCCCAGAAAUACUAAAGUUGCUCCAUUGUCUUCAGAUCUAUGAUAAUGCAGAUUGGAGGGAAUGAAGAGAAGGAAGGAGAGUUUGGAGAAAGGGAUAGGAUAGAGCUUGCAGGUUUGGAGUAGGCUCUGUUACGAGCUGUCCCAAGCAAUGCUCUGCACCAACACGGCAUCCUGGGAAAGAAGAGCAAGUAAGUCUCAAAAGAGAACACAGCUGUGAUGCCUGAAAAAGGUCACAGAGAGUCUAACCAAGUGGACUAGGAAAAAGCCUCUUCAGUGCUGUACGAACUGUGUGGUAGAAGUCGGAGGGAAAGUCAUCUCUGAGAAGGAUUCGGUGCUAUUCCAGAACUGGAAUGCAAGAAUGGUAAGAGCCCUGCUGUAAUCUGAAUAUGUGUGUCUCCAGACAAAAUUCACAUGCUGAAACUUAACCCCCAAUGUGACAGUAUUAGGAAGUGGGGCUUUUGGGGGGUGAUUAGAUCACGAGGGUGGGGACCUCAUGAAUGGGACUAGUGCCCUCACAAAAGAAACCUCAGGGGGUUGCAUGGCUCCUUCCACCUUGUGAGGUUACAGUGAGAGAAAUGCCAUCUAGGAAUAAGAAGGUGGGUUCUCACCAGACACCCAAACUGCUGGCAUCUUGAUGUUGGAUUUCCCAGCCACUCAGAACUGUGAGAAAUAAAUUUCUCUUGUUUAUAAGCUACUCAGUUCAUGGUAUUUUGUUUUAGCAGCCUGAACAGACUAAGACAAGGCCGAUUUAGAAACUAUGUCAUUCUGGGAAUUUGAUCUGAAUGAGACAAAAGGACAGGGGCAUAAAAUGAUCUUUGGAAUCUAGAACUACCUGGAACAAAGGGUGGAUUGGCGCCAGAUAGUGAGCUAGGAUUUGGGUAGGCCCCUUCUCCUCAGGCAAAAGGGGUCAGGAAGAGAAUCAACAAAUUACAGAAAGGGGGUGCUGAGCAUGGCUGGAUGAUACCAUGGUGCAUAUUCAGCAGGACCAGCUUAGUAGCAUUAUGGAAAUGUUUUGCUUCUCAUCAGCAGGCAGAGAUGGAGAGAUCAUUUUCAAACUCUGGGUGGGGGCACUUAUGAUAGAAAGUAGAUAUUGUUAUAUUAACUCACUCCCCACCUCAUUAGCAAAAAUACACACAAUGGUUUGUAGACUCCAGGGUAUAAAUCAGGAUCCGCUGGUAUGACAUCUCAGAGUGAGGGCUCUCAACACCAGAGUUAGAGCAGACAGAAAAGGGUAGGCAACGAGUAGAGGUCUGAAACAGUUUGGCUAUUGUCUUAUUGGCAACUUAAAUGAUUGUAUUCUAUUGAAUAAACCGAAAGGGUUUACGGGAUUUUAUCAAACUGAAAAAUGAUGAAAGUUCCACUGUGAGAAAUCAAUGAAGCUUCUUUUUAUUGUUGUAUAAAGAAAUACACAAUUAAGCACCCUAUCUGUGAAACAUCAUGGUAGUUCUCACAUUUUAUUCCAAAGAAAACAUAUGUCAGACUCGACUAACAUUUUAUUCAAUGCCUUCUGUGCCAAGCACUAUUCUAAGGGAUGUCUACCAGUGUUCUCAAAGUGUAGUCCAAGGAUGGGUGCUGAUCUGCAAACUGUUACCUGUCUGUGAUUGGCAGGAUAAGUAGCUUUUGACAAGAUUUUAAUCUAUACACUACUUCCUUCCUUGGGAAGGUCUUGCUAGAAAAAAGAUGUCAGCUAACUUCAAAGUGCGCUUAGUAACUUAGUUGAUUUACAUUCCGGUGAAUGUUAUCUUGUCAUGGACAGGAAACAAACAGCUCAUUGAUAUGCAAUGGCCCACAGACCA